rnacentral:rRNA from 1 species
UGGAUCUGAUUUAACUUAGUGGCGGACGGGUGAGUAACACGUGAGCAACCUGCCUUUCAGAGGGGGAUAACGGCUGGAAACGGAUGCUAAAACCGCAUAGGUCUUCGAACCGCAUGGUUUGAAGAGGAAAAGAGGCGCAAGCUUCUGCUGAUGGAUGGACCCGCGGUGCAUUAGCUAGUUGGUGAGGUAACGGCUCACCAAGGCCGUGAUGCAUAGCCGACCUGAGAGGGUGAUCGGCCACAUUGGGACUGAGACACGGCCCAAACUCC